rnacentral:rRNA from 1 species
GUGAACUGCGGGAAGGAUCAUUA